AUCUGAGGGAUCUUGUUAAAAUGCAGAUUCUGAUCAAGGAAGGCGUAAGUAGGGCCUGAGAUUCUGCAUUUCUAACAAGCUCCCAGGUGUUGCCAAU
rnacentral:pre_miRNA from 1 species